GCCUUCGUAGCACAAUGGUCGUGCGUUGCUUUCCUAUUUGAAGUGUAAACCUUCAGGCAAAGGUUGUGGGUUCGAGUCCCAUCGACGGUU